rnacentral:rRNA from 1 species
AUUGAACGCUGGCGGCAGGCCUAACACAUGCAAGUCGAGCGCGCGGCGGACGUGUGAGUAAUGUAUGGGGAUCUGCCCGAUAGAGGGGGAUAACUACUGGAAACGGUGGCUAAUCCCGCAUACUUUCGGAUGAACCUAUAUGGUAUUAGCUAGUAGGUGGGGUAAAGGCCACCUAGGCGACGAUCUCUAGCGGGUCUGAGAGGAUGAUCAGCCACACUGGGACUGAGACACGGCCCAGACUCCUACGGGAGGCAGCAGUGGGGAAUAUUGCGCAAGGGGGGCAACCCUGACGAAGCCAUGCCGCGUGAAUGAAGAAGGCCUUCGGGUUGUAAAGUUCUUUCGGUGGCGAGGCGUUAACUACAGAAGAAGCACCGGCUAACUCCGUGCCAGCAGCCGCGGUAAUAC